AGAGUUUGAUCAUGGCUCAGGACGAACGCUGGCGGCGUGCCUAAUACAUGCAAGUCGAGCGAGCGGAACUAACAGAUUUACUUCUGUAAUGACGUUAGGAAAGCGAGCGGCGGAUGGGUGAGUAACACGUGGGGAACCUGCCCCAUAGUCUGGGAUACCACUUGGAAACAGGUGCUAAUACCGGAUAAGAAAGCAGAUCGCAUGAUCAGCUUUUAAAAGGCGGCGUAAGCUGUCGCUAUGGGAUGGCCCCGCGGUGCAUUAGCUAGUUGGUAAGGUAAAGGCUUACCAAGGCGAUGAUGCAUAGCCGAGUUGAGAGACUGAUCGGCCACAUUGGGACUGAGACACGGCCCAAACUCCUACGGGAGGCAGCAGUAGGGAAUCUUCCACAAUGGACGCAAGUCUGAUGGAGCAACGCCGCGUGAGUGAAGAAGGUUUUCGGAUCGUAAAGCUCUGUUGUUGGUGAAGAAGGAUAGAGGUAGUAACUGGCCUUUAUUUGACGGUAAUCAACCAGAAAGUCACGGCUAACUACGUGCCAGCAGCCGCGGUAAUACGUAGGUGGCAAGCGUUGUCCGGAUUUAUUGGGCGUAAAGCGAGCGCAGGCGGAAGAAUAAGUCUGACGUGAAAGCCCUCGGCUUAACCGAGGAACUGCAUCGGAAACUGUUUUUCUUGAGUGCAGAAGAGGAGAGUGGAACUCCAUGUGUAGCGGUGGAAUGCGUAGAUAUAUGGAAGAACACCAGUGGCGAAGGCGGCUCUCUGGUCUGCAACUGACGCUGAGGCUCGAAAGCAUGGGUAGCGAACAGGAUUAGAUACCCUGGUAGUCCAUGCCGUAAACGAUGAGUGCUAAGUGUUGGGAGGUUUCCGCCUCUCAGUGCUGCAGCUAACGCAUUAAGCACUCCGCCUGGGGAGUACGACCGCAAGGUUGAAACUCAAAGGAAUUGACGGGGGCCCGCACAAGCGGUGGAGCAUGUGGUUUAAUUCGAAGCAACGCGAAGAACCUUACCAGGUCUUGACAUCUAGUGCCAUUUGUAGAGAUACAAAGUUCCCUUCGGGGACGCUAAGACAGGUGGUGCAUGGCUGUCGUCAGCUCGUGUCGUGAGAUGUUGGGUUAAGUCCCGCAACGAGCGCAACCCUUGUUAUUAGUUGCCAGCAUUAAGUUGGGCACUCUAAUGAGACUGCCGGUGACAAACCGGAGGAAGGUGGGGAUGACGUCAAGUCAUCAUGCCCCUUAUGACCUGGGCUACACACGUGCUACAAUGGGCAGUACAACGAGAAGCGAGCCUGCGAAGGCAAGCGAAUCUCUGAAAGCUGUUCUCAGUUCGGACUGCAGUCUGCAACUCGACUGCACGAAGCUGGAAUCGCUAGUAAUCGCGGAUCAGCACGCCGCGGUGAAUACGUUCCCGGGCCUUGUACACACCGCCCGUCACACCAUGGGAGUCUGCAAUGCCCAAAGCCGGUGGCCUAACCUUCGGGAAGGAGCCGUCUAAGGCAGGGCAGAUGACUGGGGUGAAGUCGUAACAAGGUAGCCGUAGGAGAACCUGCGGCUGGAUCACCUCCUU
rnacentral:rRNA from 1 species